rnacentral:tRNA from 1 species
CGGGGUGUGGCGCAGUCCGGUUUAGCGCGCAGCGUUUGGGACGCUGAGGUCGGAGGUUCAAAUCCUCUCACCCCGACCA